UCGUAGGUGGCCAGCGUUAUCCGGAAUUAUUGGGCGUAAAGCCCGCGUAGGCGGUUUUUUAAUUUUGAUGUGAAAGCCCACGGCUCAACCGUGGAGGGUCAUUGGAAACUGGAAAACUUGAGUGCAGAAGAGGAAAGUGGAAUUCCAUGUGUAGCGGUGAAAUGCGCAGAGAUAUGGAGGAACACCAGUUUGAAGUAAAUU
rnacentral:rRNA from 1 species